UUUUUUUUUCUUUCUUUUUUUUGGUUGUUUUUGGUUUUCUUUCUACUUUCCCUCUCGAUAGCUAGGGAUUCUUUCUACUUUCCCUUUCAAACACCUUCUUUGCACUCUCCACACCACUGAUAUCGCCUUCUCUAUUUGCACAUAUUUCCUCCAUUUUUGAACACCGCAUCUGCAAAACAAACUGUAAAGAAGCAGCCAAAUACGAGGUCACGAAACCAUCUGUUUUCACCUUCUGCCCAAUUCAGGUCUCGAAUCGCAUUUCUUCGACAGAUCUCGGCUCUUGGAGUCAGGUUUCCUUCUCUUCUCUUCCUCCUCUUCUCUCCAUUUACACCCUUGCUCUCUCUCUCUCUCUCUCUCUCUCUCUCUUUUAUUUUCUUCAACCUCUGGAAAACCUAGCUUACAGUUUCUUCUCAAAUAGCAAGGGGUUUGAAUUAUCUACAUGAGAAUUAUAAACUGAAGAUGGCACAUAGGGGUAUUAAAACUGCUAAUAUCCUUGUUGAUGAUGCUCUAAACGCUAAGAUAUCAGACUUUGGGAAUCCUAUCCUUUAUGCAGAGGAUGGACAGGACAAUGAAUUUAAGGUCAUCAAAGUAGAAGCAACACGUGGAUACAUCAUAAAUGGCUCUCGAGUACCCAAUGUAUGGAAAGAUAUUGCAAACAUAUAUGUCGAUGGUUAUGGUGUUGUUGUACUUGAAAUUGUUAGUGUGAAGAAAAAUGCAGAAAAUAAAUUCAACCAGAAGCAGCGUGAGUUUCUAGCAGAGGAGGCUUGUCUUGCAGAAUCAAAACACAAGUUGCUGGAAUUAGUGGAUAAUUGACCAUCUUAACGUUAGUGAUGAAGUGCAACAAUAUAUCCACCGCUGUCAGACCCACAACGUCUGAUGUUGUAAGUUCUCUCAUUGGCUGUUAGAGAAUAGUUAGUACAACUGAUGUUUGAAACAUUUAACAUAUCGGGCUUCUGUGCUUCAGAGCAAGCAGUAUUGUCACUCUAUGCAGUAGGACAAAUCUCAAGAUGCACUGUUGAUAUUGGCCAUGGAAAGAUAGAAAAGAAGAUGGGGUAGCUGCUGGAGUCUCGGAUCAUGGAAAAUGGGAGGAUCAGUGCUACUGAAAGCAUCGAUCCAUCACUCUUGGGUCAAUAAAGGAAUUCAAUUUUGACAGCACAAAGUCAGAAUUUUCAGAUAACCCUACCAAUGGCUCAGAGUGGUGGGCUAAUGAAAAAGUAGCUGGAAAGGAAUCUAAGCCUGGCAACGGUUGGACUUUCUUUCCCAUUUUGCAGCCAGGAGUCAGCUAACGUAGAAAAUAUUUCAUCAUAGCUUCCCCUCUGUGAAAGGACUUUGAAAUCAAUUGGAUUUGCAACUGUAAAGCAGCUAACCCAUCUGUUGUAAAUCUGGAGUUAUACAAUUUUGAAGAUACGCCUACAGCUUGGCAAAACUUUGGAUCAAAUUGUUGUUGGAUGAAUGGAUGGAUUGCAGAGAUGAAAGAACUGCUUAUGAAUGUGUUAGGAGCAGAAACAAGAUGCAGAGAGGAGAUAAUUUUCUAGGAAUUAGUGUGAGUACUGAUAGAGCAUUCUUUGUAAUAUUUCUUGAUGUUAUACAAAGGGAUAGCAUUCGCUUAUAGGGGGUUUUGUUGUGGACUACUUUUUCUUGUAAUGUGUAACAAUAAAAAAAUGAAGAAGCUCAUAUUUCCACAUUUUUUAAGAGACCUCUAAAUCAUUUGGUGAUC